CUCUCUCCAUCCCUUCCUUUCUUUUUCUUUUCUUUUCUUUUUUAAAAGUAAUCCAUUUUCAUUGUCAUAUGUAUUAGUUCAAGGUGGGUUGGGCUAAAAUCAUAAUAGCAAUAGCAGUUUCCUUGGCCGAGCGCAUUUGCCUCUAGGAGUCACGGCUGAAUCAGUCACAUGACCGUCAGUGCUGCCAGUCUCGUCUUGUUUUCCUCCUGUCUUCUUUCGUUAGAACCUUCAGAUAGUCUCCGAGAUCUUAGGAACCCUGUUUUGUUGUAUGUCCUCUGCCCUGAUAUGAAGAAAAGAUGAUUCUUACUGUGGGCUUUAGCUUUUUGUUUUUCUACAGGGGCAUGCUGUGUGACAAAGUAACCCAGAGCUCCCCGGACCAGACCGUGGCGAGUGGCAGUGAGGUGGUACUGCUCUGCACUUAUGACACUGUAUAUUCAAAUCCAGAUUUAUUCUGGUACCGGAUAAGGCCAGAUUAUUCCUUUCAGUUUGUCUUUUAUGGGGAUAACAGCAGAUCUCAAGCUGCAGAUUUUACUCAAGGACGGUUUUCUGUGAAGCACAUUCUGACCCAGAAAGCCUUUCACUUGGUGAUCUCUCCAAUGCAAAAACCCAGGCCCAGAGAGAUGAAGAAACCUGGCUAAGGGUCUUUGUCACGCAGGCUGGAGUGAAGUGGCCCAGUAUCAACUCAUUGCAACCUCCGCCUCCUGGCUCAAACUCUCCUCCAGCCUCAGUCUCCAGCUGGGACCACAGGUGCAUACCACCACACCUGACUAAGUUUUUGUACGAAAACAAAUAAUUUUUCUAAUGCUUUAUCCUGAAUCUGAAUAUGGGCUUCAGCUGUGAGGUUCACAGCAGUAGAGCUACUGCCAGAUCAACUGGUUAUAUCUGGUUGAGAGGAAGCGAUUGCUAGCAGGAAGUUUCUGCUGAUCACGGCUUUGUAAAUGGACCAAAGUUGAUCACGAUUUUCCUAGAAAAUCAACUAUUCAGAGAAACCCCCUAUCACUACCAUCAUCAUUCUCCCCGUUUCCUCUGCUGAGAAGCUCAGCUAAAAGACUGAUUCUGUUUCAGUCACUCAGGGCAGGAAACUCAUUCCUAAGAAUCUGGUUCCUUAUGUUUUUGGCUUUAGUUCUAGACAAUUGAGAGGAUUAGAAAUUUUUCAAAGGGCUUUCUUGGAACCUGCUUUCAACCUGCUUGAGAAAACUUCUGCUGUUUGGUUUCCUUGCAUAGCUGAAGCCACCUGAUAACAGAAAGUGAUAACUCUAGCAUUAACGGUUGGAAACCACAUGCAUUGCUCAGUCACCUCCCUUCAUAAGUGCAACACUUCUUGCUCACUAUCUUGACUUUGGUUUGAGACGUACUCUGGCUGACUUUCAAGGGAGAUUACAAGUUACAAAAGAAACUUGUCCAUAAAAUAAACACCCUAUCUCCUUGUUUAUUUAAGAGUAUCCCUUAAUCCUAGUCUGAUUUAGUUGGAUAAUUAAGGCUUGCUAAAAUUUUAAAAUCUAAAUUCAUCAGGCAGUUGUCAAAUCAUCACUUUGGGUUGGAGAGACUAGGUUUGAGUAAUUUGAAUAAUACAAUAUAACUGAAAAGACAGAUGUCUGAAGAAGGUCAUGCACUUAUGAUAUUGUGCUCUGACUCUGUUAGUCAGCAUUUCAGAUAGAGCAUAAUGCAUUGAUUUGAUAAAAUAUUUUUCUGAAUCCCUCUUUCUACAUUAGUGUUUAUAUUUUCAAAAUGAUUUUUUGAAAGAAAGUGUCUUAUCGAAUCCAUUGUUUGGCAUCUUGGUAACCAAAGAAAUGGGUGUCUGACUGGAUUAAACCUUUUUAAAAACUGGAAUGCACUCAAUAUAGUUGCCAUAUGCAUCCUAGUCUAUUUUGUAUUUGACUUAAACCCAAACGUGAAGCUGUAUGAAAUUGUAGUCCAAAAUUUAGAUUAAAGAUUUAAUUGUUUAUCUUUGAAGAACUUGUAGUCUUUUGUUCUUGGUCCACAAAUAUAAUUACAUUGCAACAAGUGUUUCAAGUGCUAUUUCUUUGGAAAAUUGCUUUAUUAUCAGACUUUCUGUUUUUAUGAACACCAAUAUAUUGCUAAGUUUAUGUGCUGGUAAACAAUACCAAAAAAGUGUAUGCCAUUCCUGAACAGUCUUUCUUAAUUUAUAAACUUAGAAGUCACCUAUGUUUUAGAUUCACAUAGCUAGUCCUACUGAUCCCCUAAGAAUUGCAACAACUGUAAUAAAUGUCACUCAGAAUUUCAAGACUUUCUGCCAAUACGGGAUUUAACUUAAACCCUGAAAUAAAAGUUUGUUCUACCUAA